rnacentral:rRNA from 1 species
GGUAGUCCACGCUGUAAACGAUGGUCACUAGAUGUGGGGGUAUCGACCCCCUCCGCGUCGAAGCUAACGCGAUAAGUGACCCGCCUGGGGAGUACGGCCGCAAGGCUAAAACUCAAAGGGAAUUGACGGGGGCCCGCACAAGCAGCGGAGCGUGUGGUUUAAUUCGAUGCGACGCGAAGAACCUUACCUGGGUUAAAUCUACUCUGACCGCCGGUGAAAAGCCGGCUUCCCUUCGGGGGCAGAGUGGAAGGUGCUGCACGGCUGUCGUCAGCUCGUGCCCGUGAGGUGUUGGGUUAAG